AGGAUUAACGCUGGCGGCGUGCCUAACACAUGCAAGUCGAACGAGGUAGCAAUACCUAGUGGCAGACGGGUGAGUAACGCGUGGUCAACCUACCGUUGAGUGGGGGAUAACUAGCCGAAAGGUUAGCUAAUACCGCAUACGUCUCCGAGGGGCAUCCCUUGGCGAUAAAAGGAGCAAUCCGCUCGAUGACGGGACCGCGUCCCAUUAGCUAGAUGGUGGGGUAACGGCCUACCAUGGCACCGAUGGGUAGCUGGUUUGAGAGAGCGACCAGCCACACUGGGACUGAGAAACGGCCCAGACUCCUACGGGAGGCAGCAGUGAGGAAUUUUCCGCAAUGGGCGCAAGCCUGACGGAGCGACGCCGCGUGUGGGAAGAAGGCCUUCGGGUCGUAAACCACUGUCGAAGGGGACGAUAAGUGACGGUACCCUUGGAGGAACGCCCCGGCUAACGUACGCGCCAGCAGCCGC
rnacentral:rRNA from 1 species